AGGACGAACGCUGGCGGCGUGCUUAACACAUGCAAGUCGAACGAUGAUCCGGUGCUUGCACCGGGGAUUAGUGGCGAACGGGUGAGUAACACGUGAGUAACCUGCCCUUAACUCUGGGAUAAGCCUGGGAAACUGGGUCCAAUACCGGAUAUGACUCCUCAUCGCAUGGUGGGGGGUGGAAAGCUUUAUUGUGGUUUUGGAUGGACUCGCGGCCUAUCAGCUAGUUGGUGAGGUAACGGCUCACCAAGGCUUCGACGGGUAGCCGGCCUGAGAGGGCGACCGGCCACACUGGGGCUGAGAUACGGCCCAGACUCCUACGGGAGGCAGCAGUGGGGAAUAUUGCACAAUGGGCGAAAGCCUGAUGCAGCAACGCCGCGUGCGGGAUGACGGCCUUCGGGUUGUAAACCGCUUUCAGCUCCGACGAAGCGCAAGUGACGGUAGGAGCAGAAGAAGGACCGGCCAACUACGUGCCAGCAGCCGCGGUGAUACGUAGGGUCCGAGCGUUGUCCGGAAUUAUUGGGCGUAAAGGGCUUGUAGGCGGUUUGUCGCGUCGGAAGUGAAAACCCAGGGCUUAACCCUGAGCCUGCUUCCGAUACGGGCAAACUAGAGGAAUGCAGGGGAGAAUGGAAUUCCUGGUGGAGCGGUGGAAUGCGCAGAUAUCAGGAGGAACACCAGUGGCGAAGGCGGUUCUCUGGGCAUUUCCUGACGCUGAGAAGCGAAAGCGUGGGGAGCAAACAGGCUUAGAUACCCUGGUAGUCCACGCCGUAACCGGUGGGCACUAGUGUGGGACUCAUUCCACGAGUUCCGUGCCGUAGCUAACGCAUUAAGUGCCCCGCCUGGGGAGUACGGCG
rnacentral:rRNA from 1 species